UGCGGAUGUGGCGGAAUUGGUAUACGCGCACGUUUGAGGGGCGUGUGCCUUUGGCUUGCGAGUUCGAGUCUCGCCAUCCGCAU
rnacentral:tRNA from 1 species